AUAGUGGAGAAAGAGAGUGAAACGAACCAUUAAAAAGAAUGAUUUGGAGUAUCUGUGAAUUUCCGUUUUCCUCUCUAGGUCUUUAUCUUGGUAUUAGAGAGUCUCUAAAUCAAUAAUCAGCUUAAAAAUCACUUACUUGUUUUUGCAAACCAAUAAAAUCUUUUUUUACCAAUAAAAUCUUAAUAAUUAUUUUGCUUCUCUUCAGUGACCACUCAUUCAGCUGAACAAUGCUGUACCUUCCUAGCAAGCAUUACCUUAAACAUCUAAGAUCAGUCUCUUUUCUUCCCCCUUUAAUAAAUCUUUCAUUUCUGUGCUCAUUCAUUCAUCUCCCAUCAUUCAUCUCUGGGAGUGACAGGUGCUAAGCAGCAUGACCCUUUUCCAUUUUCUGAUCCUUUCCCAUUCCUUUAAUUCUAAGUGAGAAUAAGUUCAUUCUUCCUAUAUGGUUUCUAGGUUUGGUAACACCUUGGUAUUUCACUACAGAAAUAGGAGUUACCUGGAAACAAAACCAUUCAUUUUUGCAAAGAGCAAUCGCAAGACUUUCUCCUUUUGCUCCCAGGUCAAAUCUUCAAUAUCCACAUUUCCUUGAAUAUCCGUCCUGAAGAAUUUCAAAGGCAAAAUGGCCAAAAAAAGAAAAUAAAGGAACAUGUUCAAAGAUACUACAAUGACAUUCUAUGGAACAAAUGAUCUAGUCUCUUUAAUAAGUCUCUGUCUUGAAAAAAGGAAAUCUACUAAGAAUACCUACUAAGCCCCACACACAGUGCUAAGCACAGGGGUUAUAAAGACAGGAAGGCAGGAAGCCCAAUUGAAAAUUCCCAGUCUCCCUUGCAGUUCAGCAAAGCUAUGUAACUAAGUUCUGGUCAAUGAAAUCUUGAUGAGAUAAAAUUGAUAUAUAAAAUGGU